rnacentral:rRNA from 1 species
UUACAAUGAAGAGUUUGAUCCUGGCUCAGGAUGAACGCUAGCUACAGGCUUAACACAUGCAAGUCGAGGGGCAGCAGAUCGAAAGCUUGCUUUUGAUGCUGGCGACCGGCGCACGGGUGAGUAACGCGUAUCCAACCUUCCCUAUAGUAGAGAAUAGCCCGGCGAAAGUCGGAUUAAUGCUCUAUGUUGUAUUUAGAAGACAUCUGAAGAAUACCAAAGGUUUACCGCUAUAGGAUGGGGAUGCGUCUGAUUAGGUAGUAGGCGGGGUAACGGCCCACCUAGCCGACGAUCAGUAGGGGUUCUGAGAGGAAGGUCCCCCACAUUGGAACUGAGACACGGUCCAAACUCCUACGGGAGGCAGCAGUGAGGAAUAUUGGUCAAUGGACG